GACGAACGCUGGCGGCGUGCUUAACACAUGCAAGUCGAACGGAAAGGCCUGCAGCUUGCUGCGGGUACUCGAGUGGCGAACGGGUGAGUAACACGUGGGUGAUCUGCCUUGCACUUCGGGAUAAGCUUGGGAAACUGGGUCUAAUACCGGAUAGGACAGCUGUUUAGUGUCAGUUGUGGAAAGUUUUUUCGGUGCAAGAUGAGCUUGCGGCCUAUCAGCUUGUUGGUGGGGUAAUGGCCUACCAAGGCGUCGACGGGUAGCCGGCCUGAGAGGGUGUACGGCCACAUUGGGACUGAGAUACGGCCCAGACUCCUACGGGAGGCAGCAGUGGGGAAUAUUGCACAAUGGGCGGAAGCCUGAUGCAGCGACGCCGCGUGGGGGAUGAAGGCCUUCGGGUUGUAAACUCCUUUCGACAGGGACGAAGCUUUUGUGACGGUACCUGUAUAAGAAGCACCGGCUAACUACGUGCCAGCAGCCGCGGUAAUACGUAGGGUGCGAGCGUUGUCCGGAAUUACUGGGCGUAAAGAGCUCGUAGGUGGUUUGUCGCGUCGUCUGUGAAAUUCCGGGGCUUAACUUCGGGCGUGCAGGCGAUACGGGCUGACUUGAGUGCUGUAGGGGAGACUGGAAUUCCUGGUGUAGCGGUGAAAUGCGCAGAUAUCAGGAGGAACACCGAUGGCGAAGGCAGGUCUCUGGGCAGUAACUGACGCUGAGGAGCGAAAGCAUGGGUAGCGAACAGGAUUAGAUACCCUGGUAGUCCAUGCCGUAAACGGUGGGCGCUAGGUGUAGGGGGCUUCCACGUCUUCUGUGCCGUAGCUAACGCAUUAAGCGCCCCGCCUGGGGAGUACGGCCGCAAGGCUAAAACUCAAAGGAAUUGACGGGGGCCCGCACAAGCGGCGGAGCAUGUGGAUUAAUUCGAUGCAACGCGAAGAACCUUACCUGGGCUUGACAUAUACAAGACAGGCGUAGAGAUACGUCCUCCCUUGUGGUUUGUAUACAGGUGGUGCAUGGUUGUCGUCAGCUCGUGUCGUGAGAUGUUGGGUUAAGUCCCGCAACGAGCGCAACCCUUAUCUUCAGUUACUAGCAUUUUGGAUGGGGACUCUGGAGAGACUGCCGAUGAUAAAUCGGAGGAAGGUGGGGAUGACGUCAAAUCAUCAUGCCCUUUAUGUCUUGGGCUACACACGUGCUACAAUGGUUGGUACAACGAGAAGCGACAUAGUGAUGUGAAGCAAAACUCUAAAAGCCAAUCUCAGUUCGGAUUGUAGGCUGCAACUCGCCUACAUGAAGUCGGAGUUACUAGUAAUCGCGAAUCAGAACGUCGCGGUGAAUGCGUUCCCGGGUCU
rnacentral:rRNA from 1 species